UACGGGGGGGGCAAGCGUUGUUCGGAAUUACUGGGCGUAAAGGGCUCGUAGGUGGCCAACUAAGUCACACGUGAAAUCCCUCGGCUUAACCGGGGAACUGCGUUUGAUACUGGAUGGCUUGAGUUUGGGAGAGGGACGCGGAAUUCCAGGUGUAGCGGUGAAAUGCGUAGAUAUCUGGAGGAACACCGGUGGCGAAGGCGGCGUCCUGGACCAAUACUGACACUGAGGAGCGAAAGCCAGGGGAGCAAACGGG
rnacentral:rRNA from 1 species